GCCAGACUCCUACGGGAGGCAGCAGUGGGGGAUAUUGCACAAUGGGGGGAACCCUGAUGCAGCGACGCCGCGUGGGUGAAGGAGUGCUUCGGCAUGUAAAGCCCUAUCGGCAGGGAAGAAGCAAGACGGUACCUGACUAAGAAGCCCCGGCUAACUACGUGCCAGCAGCCGCGGUAAUACGUAGGGGGCAAGCGUUAUCCGGAUUUACUGGGUGUAAAGGGAGCGUAGACGGCAGUGCAAGUCUGAAGUGAAAGGCGGGGGCCCAACCCCCGGACUGCUUUGGAAACUGUGCUGCUGGAGUGCAGGAGAGGCAAGUGGAAUUCCUAGUGUAGCGGUGAAAUGCGUAGAUAUUAGGAGGAACACCAGUGGCGAAGGCGGCCUACUGGACGGUGACUGACGCUGAGGCUCGAAAGCGUGGGGAGCAAACAGGAUUAGAUACCCGGGUAA
rnacentral:rRNA from 1 species